rnacentral:ncRNA from 2 species
AUAAAUAAAUAACUCCGAGCCCGGAAAGCCUAAGGCUGAAAGCUAUGGCGCCGGGACGACCGCUUGCCGGUCCGGGGUAGCCGGGGAAACCUGACUGCCUCCCCUGUUUGGAAAGGAGUUUCGUUUGGACACUU